rnacentral:rRNA from 1 species
AACGAACGCUGGCGGCAUGCCUAACACAUGCAAGUCGAACGAGACCUUCGGGUCUAGUGGCGCACGGGUGCGUAACGCGUGGGAAUCUGCCCUUGGGUUCGGAAUAACAGUUAGAAAUGACUGCUAAUACCGGAUAAUGUCUUCGGACCAAAGAUUUAUCGCCCAGGGAUGAGCCCGCGUAGGAUUAGCUAGUUGGUGAGGUAAAGGCUCACCAAGGCGACGAUCCUUAGCUGGUCUGAGAGGAUGAUCAGCCACACUGGGACUGAGACACGGCCCAGACUCCUACGGGAGGCAGCAGUGGGAAUAUUGGACAAUGGCGAAAGCCUGAUCCAGCAAUGCCGCGUGAGUGAUGAAGGCCUUAGGGUUGUAAAGCUCUUUUACCCGGGAUGAUAAUGACAGUACCGGGAGAAUAAGCCCCGGCUAACUUCGUGCCAGCAGCCGCGGUAAU